rnacentral:rRNA from 1 species
UACGUAGGGGGCAAGCGUUGUCCGGAGUUACUGGGCGUAAAGCGCACGCAGGCGGUCUGCUAAGUUUGGAGUGACAGUUGGUGGCUCAACCACCAAAGUGCUUUGAAAACUGACAGACUUGAGGGCUUCAGAGGGACACGGAAUCCGGGUGGAGUGGUGAAAUGCGUAGAGAUCCGGAGGAACACCGAAGGCGAAGGCAGUGUCCUGGGAGUACCUGACGCUCGAGGUGCGAAAGCUAGGGAGCGAACGGG